UUAUCAUUAAUCCCCAAAAUUAAUAUUUUUAUUAAACUACCUCCUG
rnacentral:tRNA from 1 species